GACGAACGCUGGCGGCGUGCCUAAUACAUGCCAGUUGAGCGCUGAAGGUUGGUACUUGUACCAACUGGAUGAGCAGCGAACGGGUGAGUAACGCGUGGGGAAUCUGCCUUUGAGCGGGGGACAACAUUUGGAAACGAAUGCUAAUACCGCAUAAAAACUUUAAACACAAGUUUUAAGUUUGAAAGAUGCAAUUGCAUCACUCAAAGAUGAUCCCGCGUUGUAUUAGCUAGUUGGUGAGGUAAAGGCUCACCAAGGCGAUGAUACAUAGCCGACCUGAGAGGGUGAUCGGCCACAUUGGGACUGAGACACGGCCCAAACUCCUACGGGAGGCAGCAGUAGGGAAUCUUCGGCAAUGGACGAAAGUCUGACCGAGCAACGCCGCGGGAGUGAAGAAGGUUUUCGGAUCGUAAAACUCUGUUGGUAGAGAAGAACGUUGGUGAGAGUGGAAAGCUCAUCAAGUGACGGUAACUACCCAGAAAGGGACGGCUAACUACGCG
rnacentral:rRNA from 1 species